rnacentral:rRNA from 1 species
GAAAGUUACUUCGGUACGAUUCGGUGACAGGUGGUGCAUGGUUGUCGUCAGCUCGUGUCGUGAGAUGUUGGGUUAAGUCCCGCAACGAGCGCAACCCCUAUUGUUAGUUGCCAUCAUUCAGUUGGGCACUCUAGCGAGACUGCCGGUAAUAAACCGGAGGAAGGUGGGGAUGACGUCAAAUCAUCAUGCCCCUUAUGACCUGGGCUACACACGUGCUACAAUGGUUGGUACAACGAGUUGCGAGUCGGUGACGGCGAGCUAAUCUCUUAAAGCCAAUCUCAGUUCGGAUUGUAGGCUGCAACUCGCCUACAUGAAGUCGGAAUCGCUAGUAAUCGCGGAUCAGCACGCCGCGGUGAAUACGUUCCCGGGCCUU